ACGAACGCUGGCGGCGUGCUUAACACCUGCAGGUCGAACGGUGAAGCGCCUUCCUUUUUGGUGGGUGUGGAUGAGUGGCGAACGGGUGAGUAACACGUGAGUAACCUGCCCCCUUCUUCUGGAUAACCGCAUGAAAGUGUGGCUAAUACGGGAUAUUCUGGGUCUGUCGCAUGAUGGGUCUGGGAAAGAUAUUGUUUCGGUGGGGGAUGGGCUCGCGGCCUAUCAGCUUGUUGGUGGGGUGAUGGCCUACCAAGGCGGUGACGGGUAGCCGGCCUGAGAGGGUGGACGGUCACACUGGGAGUGAGACACGGCCCAGACUCCUACGGGAGGCAGCAGUGGGGAAUAUUGCACAAUGGGCGCAAGCCUGAUGCAGCGACGCCGCGUGAGGGAUGGAGGCCUUCGGGUUGUGAACCUCUUUCGCCAGUGAAGCAGGCCUGCCUCGUUUGUGGGUGGGUUGACGGUAGCUGGAUAAGAAGCGCCGGCUAACUACGUG
rnacentral:rRNA from 1 species